GAACAAAGAGAAGUAUACGAAGUAAGUACUAAGUAUAUAAAAAUUGCCCUUCCAGACAAUGUUUCCCACAUCUAAAACUAGGCUCCUAAUUAAUGCAAAAGAAAUAACCUCUGAUUGCAGAGGUCUCUAAUGAAGUUUUAAUAGCAAGGAAUGUAUAGUCACAAAGCAAAACAGCAACUCAAAGAUAAGUCUUUAGAGUGAACAACUUCUCUUGAGGCAUUUGAUUUCAACAUGUCUCAGAGUUCAGACUGGAAUCCCAUGUUAUUACUUCUUGCACUUAGAGAGGAAAUUAUACAUAAAGAGUUUCUUAUGUCUAUCAUAUAUAAGCCCUGCUAAUAGAAAUCAGCCCACUGACUAACUGAAGAUGGCUUAGAAGCUGUUAGAACAAAAGGAGUGAUUUUUGUUCCAGUUUCUCCAAAUAUUGUAGGCUCAAGAUGUAACAAAUUAGAAAAGCACUUUGAAACAUAAUGUUUUUCACUGGUAAUACAGGCUUUAAUUUUUAAAAUUGUUAAUAUAUUAAAAACCUUUUGUAUCAUCCCAUAAUUUACUUUCUGAAGGUGUCUUUUCUAGUAUGCUAUUUAGCGUCAAACAUCUGAAAUUAUAUUUCAAGUUGGUUAUGCAUUUUCUAUUUAGAUCUAAUAUAGGUCAUGUUUUUCUUUUGGUAGAUGAGUUUGGGCAACUUACACUUCAGAAAACGGAAGAAGCCUUUGAUGGAUGAAGAUUCAUUAAGUGGUCCUUCUUGUGCACUAAAAUUUACUCUUUUGAAAUAAGAGACUUAUAGGAUCUACUGAGGAUAUCCUUCAGGCAGCUGACUUGCACUUUGGUGCUGACUGUGCUUCAGUGUAGCAGAUCUGGUGUGUGCCUUGUGACUGCUUUGUGAAACUUCUGUGUCUGGACUGCAGAAAUGAAAAGCAAUGGAAAGAACUACAACUCAAGACAAAAGACUCAGUCUUUCUCUGACAAGUUGAAAUGCUCCUUACUGAGACAAGCUAUACAGCAGAGCAACUGCAACAGAAGUACACUUGUCCUCUUGGAUUGGGUGUAUUGUGGAUUCACUGUAUAAGAACAUUUUCAAAGGUGAGUUUCAAAGUUCUGGGUGGGCUAUAA
rnacentral:lncRNA from 1 species